UACAGAGGGUGCAAACGUUGUUCGGAAUUACUGGGCGUAAAGCGCGUGUAGGCGGCCAUCUAAGUCGGGCGUGAAAUCCCACGGCUCAACCGUGGAAGUGCACUCGAAACUGGAGUGCUCGAGCGUGGGAGAGGAAAGCGGAAUUCCUGGUGUAGCGGUGAAAUGCGUAGAUAUCGGAAGGAACACCAGUGGCGAAAGCGGCUUCCUGGUCCAGCACCGACGUUCAGGCACGAAAGCGUGGGGAGCAAACAGG
rnacentral:rRNA from 1 species